rnacentral:rRNA from 1 species
AACGAACGCUGGCGGCAUGCCUAACACAUGCAAGUCGAACGAGACCUUCGGGUCUAGUGGCGAACGGGUGCGUAACGCGUGGGAACCUGCCUUUAGGUUCGGAAUAACUCAGAGAAAUUUGAGCUAAUACCGGAUGAUGUCUUCGGACCAAAGAUUUAUCGCCUUUAGAUGGGCCCGCGUUGGAUUAGCUAGUUGGUGGGGUAAAGGCCUACCAAGGCGACGAUCCAUAGCUGGUCUGAGAGGAUGAUCAGCCACACUGGGACUGAGACACGGCCCAGACUCCUACGGGAGGCAGCAGUGGGGAAUAUUGGACAAUGGGCGAAAGCCUGAUCCAGCAAUGCCGCGUGAGUGAUGAAGGCCUUAGGGUUGUAAAGCUCUUUUACCCGAGAUGAUAAUGACAGUAUCGGGAGAAUAAGCUCCGGCUAACUCCGUG